rnacentral:misc_RNA from 1 species
ACAAAGCUCUGUUACAGAAACGGCACAGCUCAUUCCGAGUUAUGAAACUUGCGUUGAACUUCGACGAAUGAGAUUUGAUGAGACGAACAACUUGACUGGUGCAAGUAGAAAACUACGCAUAGUUGAAUGUUAACACGUUCUAUUCGGAAACGAAGAACGACAGAAAGUGGCCUAUCCCCAACUUAC